GCCAUCACAGUGUAUGUUCACUUUAAGUACACAAGUCUGAGACUUGAGCAUUUCUUGUUUAUUCAUUCUGUCAGCAGAUGCAGACUAACAAUAAAGAAAGAUUGGAGUUGUUCUUGUUGUAGUAUAGUAGUAGUAGUUGAAAAUAUGAGGUUUGAAUGUAGGUUAGGCACUUAAAGAAAGGAGUAGCUGAGAUUUGAAGAGGAAGAGGGAAGGAAGGCGGUGUGGUGUAAAAUAUUG
rnacentral:misc_RNA from 1 species